rnacentral:rRNA from 1 species
CCUACGGGUGGCAGCAGUGGGGAAUAUUGGACAAUGGGCGAAAGCCUGAUCCAGCCAUGCCGCGUGUGUGAAGAGGGCCUUCGGGUUGUAAAGCACUUUCAGUGGGGAAGAAAGCCUUGGGGCUAAUACCCUCGAGGAAGGACAUCACCCACAGAAGAAGCACCGGCUAACUCCGUGCCAGCAGCCGCGGUAAUACGGAGGGUGCGAGCGUUAAUCGGAAUUACUGGGCGUAAAGCGCGCGUAGGCGGUCUGAUAAGCCGGUUGUGAAAGCCCCGGGCUCAACCUGGGAACGGCAUCCGGAACGGUCAGGCUAGAGUGCAGGAGAGGAAGGUAGAAUUCCCGGUGUAGCGGUGAAAUGCGUAGAGAUCGGGAGGAAUACCAGUGGCGAAGGCGGCCUUCUGGACUGACACUGACGCUGAGGUGCGAAAGCGUGGGUAGCAAACAGGAUUAGAUACCCGGGUAGUC